CGGCGUUGGUGGAGACGGUGGCGGUGACGGCUACAACGACGACGACGACUACAGCUCCGCGAUGAGUACGAGUUCAGUUCAACUACACCUACUCGUUGACGCACAUGUGUUCCGGCCAUCGAACGUUGCGGGAUUCAAUUUUAUAAUUUCGAACAAUUUUUUCAAAAUAUUUUCUUCCCGCCAAUACCGACGAAACGCUCUUAGCAUCAUUUUCACAUACUUUCCAUCGGUCAUAUAUUAUUAUUACAAUAUUAUAAUUUUAUAUACCUACACGAUGUGCAGCAGUAUAGGAAAUAGCGUGUGGUUGUGCUCGAAAAUCGAUCGAACGAAAAACCAUCAAAGCUGUCAACCAGGAUUAGACGGUUCUAACAGCCGACCUAGACCUAUAACGGCUGUACAAAACUGAAGGAAUAACGCUUUUCAAAAUCAAAUCGACCUGCAUAUGCAAUACGCAGAAUUCUGCCACACCGGAACUAAAAUGAAGACUUCGACCGACAUUACCAUCAACAGGCCGAAACCAUUGUUUCCAAAACCUAGUUGCUAAAUAAUCAUGAUUUAUUAUAUUAAUAAAUCUAAUGUAUAUAAUUAAAUAUAAGUACUUUUCUUCCCUUGGUAGUUCGAAAUGGAAGUUUCAAGAACAACCCCUACUACGUUUCAGUUAGGCAAACAAACUAACUUUUUGUAUUUUUUACUUGGUACCUGAAAUAAGUUUGCCUUUCGUACGGGGUUGAUUGAAAUCUUACUUACAUUGUGCUACUAUUACUAUCUUUCAUUAUAUUUUGUCUGUAAUUAUUUUUAUAUUUAUUUAAAUAUAUAUAUCAUUGAUG